rnacentral:rRNA from 1 species
GAUUAACGCUGGCGGCGUGCCUAAUACAUGCAAGUCGAGCGAACGGACGAGAAGCUUGCUUCUCUGAUGUUAGCGGCGGACGGGUGAGUAACACGUGGAUAACCUACCUAUAAGACUGGGAUAACUUCGGGAAACCGGAGCUAAUACCGGAUGAUAUUUUGAACCGCAUGGUUCAAAAGUGAAAGACGGUCUUGCUGUCACUUAUAGAUGGAUCCGCGCUGCAUUAGCUAGUUGGUAAGGUAACGGCUUACCAAGGCAACGAUGCAUAGCCGACCUGAGAGGGUGAUCGGCCACACUGGAACUGAGACACGGUCCAGACUCCUACGGGAGGCAGCAGUAGGGAAUCUUCCGCAAUGGGCGAAAGCCUGACGGAGCAACGCCGCGUGAGUGAUGAAGGUCUUCGGAUCGUAAAACUCUGUUAUUAGGGAAGAACAUAUGUGUAAGUAACUGUGCACAUCUUGACGGUACCUAAUCAGAAAGCCACGGCUAACUACGUG